rnacentral:rRNA from 1 species
CACGCAGGCGGUCUGUCAAGUCGGAUGUGAAAUCCCCGGGCUCAACCUGGGAACUGCAUUCGAAACUGGCAGGCUAGAGUCUUGUAGAGGGGGUAGAAUUCCCGGUGUAACGGUGGAAUGUGUAGAUAUCGGGAAGAACACCAAUGGCGAAGGCAGGUCUCUGGGCCGUCACUGACGCUGAGGAGCGAAAGCGUGGGGAGCGAACA